rnacentral:rRNA from 1 species
ACCAGAUAAGUGGUGUUCGCAAUUGUGUGAUGUCGCAGUGUUGCUAAGCCAUCAUCUGUGGAAGAAUGACUGAAAGCCUCUAAGUCAAAAUUCGAUCUGGUUUGCGAAUUGAUUUUGGCCAUGUUUCAAAUCAGUAC